GCCCCGUCUCCUGGCCUGUCUGGAAGGCGGCAGCGGCAGUGGCGGCAGUGGAGGCGGCACAGCAGGCACCGGUCCGGGGAGCGGCACCAUGAGUGGAUCACAGAACAAUGACAUGAAAAGACAAUUUCUGCUGGAGCGACUGCUGGAUGCAGUGAAACAGUGCCAGAUCCGCUUUGGAGGGAGAAAGGAGAUCGCCUCGGAUUCCGACAGCAGCUGCCCUCUGUUCGUGUCGACUCUUAGUCUCAGUGCAGCCUCAGGAGGAGCAUCGGUGUAAUUCUUUACAGAUAAG